AAAUUGAAGAGUUUGAUCAUGGCUCAGAUUGAACGCUGGCGGCAGGCCUAACACAUGCAAGUCGAACGGUAACAGGAAGCAGCUUGCUGCUUCGCUGACGAGUGGCGGACGGGUGAGUAAUGUCUGGGAAACUGCCUGAUGGAGGGGGAUAACUACUGGAAACGGUGGCUAAUACCGCAUAACGUCGCAAGACCAAAGAGGGGGACCUUCGGGCCUCUUGCCAUCAGAUGUGCCCAGAUGGGAUUAGCUUGUUGGUGAGGUAACGGCUCACCAAGGCGACGAUCCCUAGCUGGUCUGAGAGGAUGACCAGCCACACUGGAACUGAGACACGGUCCAGACUCCUACGGGAGGCAGCAGUGGGGAAUAUUGCACAAUGGGCGCAAGCCUGAUGCAGCCAUGCCGCGUGUAUGAAGAAGGCCUUCGGGUUGUAAAGUACUUUCAGCGGGGAGGAAGGUG
rnacentral:rRNA from 3 species